UUCAUCAACCUUUUUAUCUUUAUUUUCUUUUCUUCAUCUCUUUCCUUCCUUUCAAAGUUGCCACUCACUCCACAACACUUCUCACCUGUCCCACUUAUUACCGCCAUCCUUACCUGGAGUGUUUCUCAGCAGCAAGUAAUUUCUUUUCUCUUAAACCUGCUGUUCUUAUUCUUUUUCUUAGAUGUUUUGCUAAUAUUUCACGUUUUCUAUGAGAUUCAGACCUUAGCCGGAAACUUCUUAACUUGUGUCACGUGGGAAAAGUCGUGUGUUUCUUUUUUUAACUUGUAGUAGAAGAAGAGGGGGAAAAAAGUUGCUUGUAUUGUUUUUGUGUAAAGUGUUUGAGUUGCUUGUUUGUCUUGUGUUUAAAUUGUUUUUGUUUUCUUAUUUAUUUAUGUAUUUAUUUAUUUAUUUAUUUAUUUAUUUAUUUAUUUAUUUUAUUUAUUUUUUUGUCUAGUAUUGAAAUCUUUUUUAUUCUUAUUUAUGUAUUCAUUUAUUUAUUUUGUCCAAAGUGUCUAAAUUGUUUAUGUGUCUGUCUGUGUGUCUGUCUGGUGUUGAAAUUGCCUGUUUUUUUAAUUCUUAUUUAUUCAUUUUUUAUUUGUUUAAAGUGUCGAAAUUGUCUGUUUGUUUGUUUGUCUGGUGGCUAAAUUGUCUUUUUUUUUUUUUGUUCUUAUUUAUUUAUUGAUCUUUUCUAUUUACUUAUUUUUUCUAGAAGUCUCAAAGUUGUAUGUUUCGUGUUUGCCUGAAAUGUGCUUUGUGAUAUUUUUAUUAUUUUAUUUUAUUUUUUCCUAACCUAACCUAACUUAACCUAAUCUAACCUAAAAUGUUUUACGUCCUGAAAAAAAAAGUUGUCUGGUUUUAAUUCCCUGUGUGUCUGUGUAGCUUGGUUUGUCAUUCUUUUUCCUCUUAAGGGAUCGAGAAGUGUUCGUUUUCUUUCUUUCUUCUUUUUUCUUCUCAUGCCUUCUGCGAGUUGCCUUUCCGUUUUCUUUGUUUUUUCUUUUUUUCUUCUCAUGCCUUCUGCGAGUUGCCUUUCCGUUUUCUUUCUUUUUUCUUUUUUUCUUCUCAUGCCUUCUGCGAGUUGCCUUUCCUCCGAUAUUUGUUAUUUAGAGUUUUCAUUUCUCUUUGUUAACGCUGCUUGCUUUCUCUGAUUCUCUUCCGUGUUUAUUUAUCGUAAUUUAUCGCCAUUUUCCCCUUAAUGUGGAAAGUACGUGUUUUUUUAUAUAUAUAUAUUUUUUAUUUUUUUCGUUUCCGCUGUGCAUUUUCCUUUCCUCCUAUAUUUAUUUUCUUUUUUUAAGUUUCAAGAAAAAUUCAAUGUUUUUCUGUCCCUUGUGAACGCUGCUUGGUUCGUCUGCUUCUCUUUCGUGUCAAUGUCAGUUUGUCACACUAUUAAGGUUUAGAAAAGUCUCGUUUUAUAUAAUUUUUCGUGUCCUCUUUACGUUUCCUCUCUUCUGACAUUUCUCUUUUUUUGAAGCUUUAGGGAAAAGUCGGAGUGUUCGUGUGCUUUGUGUACGGUGGUUGCCUUCUCUGUCAUUUUUCUUCCCUUGCCUAAGCCUAUAGAACCUGCAGCCUUUGUGUUAGUGUCUGACCCGUCAUCGAAACCCUUUACUAUGGGUAUUACGACACUUCUGCCUAACAACACGACUUUCAUUUGAUAGUACGACAGCUUCCCUUAACGGUAGAGCACUGACGAUAGUACGACAGUUUUACCAGAUAGUACGACAUAUUUGCUUAAUAGUACGACGUGUAUUUGAUGGUACGACACUUUUGCUUGAUAGUACGACAGUUUUACCAGAUAGUACGACACUUUUGCUUUAUAGUACGGCACUCAUUUGAUAGUACGACACUUUUGCUUGAUGGUAUGGCACUUUUGCUUGAUAGUACGACACUUUUACUUCAUAGUACGACAGUUUUGCUAGUUCGACAGUUUUACACCAUAGUGCAGCACUCUUAACUUCGCUGGAGUAACCCUGAAGACUUUGAGCAAGAAAUACAACUAGCACUAAAAUCUACCAGCUUUUUUAUCACUUAACAAUUACAAAUGUCUUUCUUAUACACCAAACACUACGUACAUUACUUCAUUAACCCUUUAACUGCCAUUACACACACCUUUCCUUCAUCACUAACCACUUUGAGACUCGUUCCCUUGCUUGAUACCCACCUCCAAACAUUUUAUUGGCUAGAAAUUGUAAAAUCUAUUCGUUCUUUUAUCCCGUCUCUUUCUUGUAGAUGUUCGUUAAAGACUGAUGUUGCUUUUAGUGCUGUGAAUUGUUGCUCGUCGUAGAGAAAGGGUUAAACUUCUAGUAAAGUAUCCCUAAGUUGAGAAUUUUGUUGACCUUUCUUUUGGGCCUUUUUUUCUCUCUCUCUUUCUCUCUUUUUGUUGUUCUUGGCCAGUCUCUCUCUUACAUAAAUAAGUAAACGAAACAAAAUUCCUUAUUAGUCAUGGAUUAUCAGCUCUUGUUGUAGUGAUAGUAACAGUAGAUGGUCUCCUCGCCCCGUCCCCCUCACAGCAUGUCGGCCCCGUGGUAGGCAGCGAGGCACUAUUGGCGUGGCACCAGGCAGGCACCCUUUGGCACUCCAGCGUGUGAAUACAGUGCCCGCAUACCCGUGACUUGUCGUGCGCCUCUACACCUACUCUCUCUCUCUCUCUCUCUCUCUCUCUCUCUCUCUCUCUCUCUCUCUCUCUCUCCUUGUUCUUAACUUUUACAUUUACGUACACGCGUGCAAGUGAGGAAGGACACAAGACUCACGUACAUACACGGACACACACUGUACGUACACGCCUCUACGCACACGCCUCCUCCACUCCAGGGAUGCUGCCUCGCCCACACCUGCUGCUGGAAAGGCGUGAACGUGUGUCAAGAAGGAACAACAACAACAACAACAACAACAACAACAACAACAACAGCAAUAUCAACAACGACAACAAACAAGCAACUUAGAAAAACGCAAUCACCUUUCACCUUCUUUCAGUGCUAACAGCUUGGAUUAACAGUGACAACAAAGGAAUACCCAUAAAAUAAAACAUAAAAACUAAGAUAAUCAGAAAAAAAACAAGGAUAUGAUUUAAAAUUACAGACUAGUAUGACAGAAUUAAAAGAUAAUUUAAAAGUAUUCGGUUAAUUUGUUUAUAGACCGAAACGUGUGAUUUGUGCGGAAAAUAAUAGAUAAAAAAGGAAAUUCACAACAUUUACUUAAAAUUUCUUGACGUGAGAAAGUAACACCAUUAAAUCUUGAGUGACUCGUGACAGAACAACAGGACAACAACACUCCCGGGCCACAUGCCUCGCCGGGACGCAGCACGCAGCCCCCCGAGCACCAGCAAGGCGAGGCGAGGCAGGAGACAGAAAGACUAACACUAAACGAAACAUUACACUCACGCCCCGCAGAGUUUCACCCGGGAUGGAGGAGGAGGAAGCCACACCCACCCCGCCCACUGACCCCAUCCCGCCCCGCCCCACCCUUUCCCCCCGUGGGCCGUCCCCCCAAGCUCGCCCCGUGUCCCCCCGCCGCUCUCGGACUGUUGAUGACGCUAAGGACCUCCGCUUCUCCAACAUCAAGGCCAUCAGGACAGGAGACCACACCCGCAUCAUUAUUAAAGGUACGGAGAGUUUAAGUGAUCUUGAUCUUGAUUCGCUGGUCUGUUUUUGCUUUUCUUGUUU